rnacentral:rRNA from 1 species
CCCGCACAAGCAGCGGAGCGUGUGGUUUAAUUCGAUGUUACACGAAGAACCUUACCAGGGUUUGACAUGCAAGUGGUAGGAAGCCGAAAGGUGACCGACCCUUCGGGGAGCUUGCACAGGUGCUGCAUGGCUGUCGUCAGCUCGUGUCGUGAGAUGUUCGGUUAAGUCCGCUAACGAGCGCAACCCUCGCUGUGUGUUAUAUGCGUCACACGGGACUGCCGGUCUUAAGCGGAGGAAGGUGGGGAUGAUGUCAAGUCAGCAUGGCCUUUAUAUCCUGGGCUACACACACGCUACAAUGGCCAACACAAUAGGUUGCUAAGCCGCGAGGUGGCGCCAAUCCAUAAAGUUGGUCUCAGUUCAGAUUGUAGGCUGCAACCCGCCUGCAUGAAGAUGGAGUUGCUAGUAACCGCAGGUCAGCUAUACUGCGGUGAAUACGUUCCCGGGGCUU